rnacentral:rRNA from 1 species
UACGUAGGGUGCGAGCGUUGUCCGGAAUUACUGGGCGUAAAGAGCUCGUAGGUGGUUUGUCGCGUUGUUCGUGAAAACCGGGGGCUUAACCCUCGGCGUGCGGGCGAUACGGGCAGACUUGAGUACUGCAGGGGAGACUGGAAUUCCUGGUGUAGCGGUGGAAUGCGCAGAUAUCAGGAGGAACACCGGUGGCGAAGGCGGGUCUCUGGGCAGUAACCGACGCUGAGGAGCGAAAGCGUGGGGAGCGAACAGG